UUUUUCACGAGCCCAUUAGGAAUCUUCCACAAUGGACGAAAGUCUGAUGGAGCAACGCCGCGUGAGUGAUGAAGGUUUUCGGAUCGUAAAACUCUGUUGUUAAAGAAGAACAAGUGUUAGAGUAACUGUUAACACUUUGACGGUAUUUAACCAGAAAGCCACGGCUAACUACGUGCCAGCAGCCGCGGUAAUACGUAGGUGGCAAGCGUUGUCCGGAUUUAUUGGGCGUAAAGCGAGCGCAGGCGGUUUUGUAAGUCUGCUGUGAAAGCCCUCAGCUCAACUGAGGAAGUGCAGUGGAAACUACAAAACUUGAGUACAGAAGAGGAAAGUGGAACUCCAUGUGUAGCGGUGAAAUGCGUAGAUAUAUGGAAGAACACCAGUGGCGAAGGCGGCUUUCUGGUCUGUUACUGACGCUGAGGCUCGAAAGCAUGGGUAGCGAACAGGAUUAGAUACCCUGGUAGUCCAUGCCGUAAACGAUGAAUACUAGGUGUUGGAGGGUUUCCGCCCUUCAGUGCCGCAGCUAACGCAUUAAGUAUUCCGCCUGGGGAGUACGACCGCAAGGUUGAAACUCAAAGGAAUUGACGGGGGCCCGCACAAGUGGUGGAGCAUGUGGUUUAAUUCGAUGCUACGCGAAGAACCUUACCAGCUCUUGACAUCUUCUGCCAACCCAAGAGAUUGGGCGUUCCCUUCGGGGACCAGAAUGAAACAAGGGGUGGGGU
rnacentral:rRNA from 2 species